rnacentral:piRNA from 1 species
UAGAAACUGGAAAGGUCUCCUUUUGGGUAUA